rnacentral:lncRNA from 1 species
CAUAAAUUCUAAGAAAAUAUUCAUUAGAAAUUUAUUUUAUUAAAUUAAAUUUAUUAAUUUUGUAAUUUAAAAAUUUAAAGUUAAGUUUAAAUAUUAGUAUUUCUAUAUAAGGAAAAAGCAAUUUAAAAUUUUAAUUUUCUAAAAUAAAUAAUUAAAUAAAAAAAUUAUUUUUUUAUAUAAAAGUCAAUUAAAAUAAUAAAAUUGAUUUACUUUAAAUAUUUAUUUUCAAUUAAUUAAGAUAAUUUUUUAUUUUUUCAUAAUUUAUGCUGCACCGAUAAAAUUUUGAGAGUUGAAUAGAACUUUUAUCUAUUUUUGAAAAAGUAUUUUAACUUGUUAAUUAUUGUGAUUUAUAAUGAUCUACAUUCUACGAUAUGAGAUACUUGGCAGAGAUUAAGGUUAUAAGGUAAUAAAGUUGUUUACUAAUAUAAGGUUCUAAGGUUAAACGGUGGUCGUUAAGGUUAUAAGGUUAUAAGGUUGUUUACUAAUAUAAGGUUGUUAACGGUGAUUAUAAGGUUAAAUG